rnacentral:misc_RNA from 1 species
GUAUGUAAUAAUAUGUGUUUUAAUGAACUACAAGGAGUACAGUGCAGUGUUUAUUGUUACAGGAUGCGGUCAUGUGCCGAGUCAAGUGAGGAUGAUGAACCAACCAAACUGAGCAUCGAAAAGGGGGAAUAUACAAGCAGUAAUGACACAGAACCCAGCUCGUAUCCUAAAGAUGAGGCCGAACUUCUCAAGUUGAGGAAGAACAUAGCCAUGGAGCUGCUGUGGGUGCAACAAGCGAUAAACAGCAGAAAAAACUACCUAACUCUGAAGGCAGGGAUGGACUGAAGUCUUACCAAAGCCAUUUCAUCGUUUGUUGUAUGGAACCCAUGCUACAAAAAACAUGAAAAGUCAAGAAUUCCACGGAAAUAAAUGUUUUGCUUCCCAUAAACUAUUUCAGUGUUUCCGACAGUUGCAUCUGUUAAACUACUUCAGUGUUUCCGACAGUUGCAUCUGUUAAACUACUUCAGUGUUUCCGACAGUUGUAUCUGUUAAACUUUUAAAAAAUUCAAACUGUAAAGUGAAGUUCCAUUGACCUAGGACUUAAGUGAACUGGAGCUAAACACAAAACAUUAUGUUUAGCUAAAUGUGAAAGUUGCUGCCUUCAUUGACCUAGGACUUGAGUGAAAUGGAGCUGACCACAAAACAUUACAGUUUAGCUAAAUAUGAAAGUUGCUGCCUUCAUUGGAAAAGGUGAGACUAAAAGGUGUUACCAAGUACGUAGAUGCUGAACUGGUUUGUCACUUGUACAACAUUAUCUUGAUCAACCAAGGUCAAAUAUUACAAAAUACAUUAACAGUUUAGAUCAUAUACUGUAACAUGAAACCUCUUCACUGGUUUAUUUCAAACAGAUUCUAGUAACCUGUUGAUUUUAUGAAGUGUAUGAAUGAACAUUUAUCAGCAAGAAUGCCAAAUGUUUUGUUUAAUGACACCACUUAGAGCACAUUAGUUUAUUAAUCAUCUAUUGGAUGUCAAACCAGUGUGUUCUCGUUUAUUUCCUCCCUUUUUUUUUUUGUCAAAGGAGAUUGUCUGCAUUUUUAUUGGCUUAUUUUCUCACAGUUGAGUGUGUAAUUGUAUUUGAGCGACUUUUAUACAAAUUUUCAAAUUGAGCUUCUCCUGCAAUAAAACACUGGUUUAUAAUGGUGUAUCGUCUAUUUUCCCAUUCAGGUCUAUAUUAUAAGUGUAUAGCUCUCCAUCUAUUGUCUAACAAGAUAGGUCUCCACCAGUCCUUAGGUUUAAAAAAAAAAAGGGGGUAGGCAGGGCUGAAUCAUUGUAACAGCCUUCAAGAUUAAUAAUAUAAUGUACUGUGUAUCAUAUAGGUGUUAAUGAAGUACAUAUAGGUGAGGUUGGAAUGGCUAUGAGAGGUAAAGGAGGAGGCCAUUCAUUAAAAUAAAGCAGCUGUUAAAUAGUAUGUUAUGUUAUAAUUUAAUACAUCUUGUUAAAAUCUUAUAGAUUGUGGACAUUUGUCUUCAGGAAAAACUUUGAAAUGAUGACUCUAGCUGCUGUCGGAAUGCAUCUCAGGUCACUUGUUGUUUUAAUAAAGCCUAUGUCUUUA